GACGAACGCUGGCGGCGUGCUUAACACAUGCAAGUCGAACGGAAAGGCCCUGCUUUUGUGGGGUGCUCGAGUGGCGAACGGGUGAGUAACACGUGAGUAACCUGCCCUUGACUUUGGGAUAACUUCAGGAAACUGGGGCUAAUACCGGAUAGGAGCUCCUGCUGCAUGGUGGGGGUUGGAAAGUUUCGGCGGUUGGGGAUGGACUCGCGGCUUAUCAGCUUGUUGGUGGGGUAGUGGCUUACCAAGGCUUUGACGGGUAGCCGGCCUGAGAGGGUGACCGGCCACAUUGGGACUGAGAUACGCCCCAGACUCCUACGGGAGGCAGCAGUGGGGAAUAUUGCACAAUGGGCGGAAGCCUGAUGCAGCAACGCCGCGUGCGGGAUGACGUCCUUCGGGUUGUAAACCGCUUUCGCCUGUGACGAAGCGUGAGUGACGGUAAUGGGUAAAGAAGCACCGGCUAACUACGUG
rnacentral:rRNA from 1 species